rnacentral:lncRNA from 1 species
UGCUGCCAUCAGGAUAAGCCUGUGUGAAGGGACUUGAGUAAAUAGGCUGGUGUUAAGCAGACUGGAGGAGACUGAGAUCUAUAUCUGUUCCAUUGCUGUCAAGGCCCCAUCUUCUCUACGAGCUCAUUUAAAACUGUCGGGGAAAGAGGUGGUUGUGGACACAGAGGCUCAUGUUCAGGAGAUGGCCAAAGAUCGUAAAGGGGAUGGUAUGACAGUUACAGGACUCAUGAAUCAAGGAAGCAAGUGUGAGAGAUGGAUAAAUGCCAUUGCCCCCAAAGGCACUGUCCGCUUUCAACACCAGAGCUGGUUCCAGUCCCUGAAACUGCCAAACUGAGAGUGCUUUUGGGGUGUUUGCUGUUUGAAGUGGACAACAAGCCAAUGCCAGUGUCCCUAUAGCCGUGAGAAACAACAGCGCUGCAGCAUUACCAGAGAGGACCGGUGAAUGGUCUCAGGUAGCUUCUGCCAGAUGUGUACUUAAUUCUGCUGUCCACUCUCCAUUGUUCUGUCCCAAGAUACGCGCCUUAAGACCUCCAGUGACACCCAAACCACAGUGUACAGUACCAACCCUGGAUACUGCGGGCUUCUUUUACUUUUCAUAUAAACACAUGUGACAGCUGAAUGCCUUUUCUAUACGACUGAGCAGUUCUUUACUCUGGCCAAAGCCCUUACCAUUUUAGUUCCAAUAUCAAAACAUGGAUGUCUUUCUUUAUCUUCUUUACAAGUUCAUGUGUUCACCCUGACUG